ensembl:lncRNA LINC02341 long intergenic non-protein coding RNA 2341
CAAGAUGGCCGAAUAGGAACAGCUCCGGUCUACAGCUCCCAGCAUGACCGACGCAGAAGACCGGUGAUUUCUGCAUUUCCAUCUGAGGUCUCACCUACCAAAUCAUAAUAAAUAUCUAUAUAUUUGGAGAUAGAGAUGAAAACCAUGUGGCUGUAUCCAGUUGGAGUGAAAAAUAUGAACUAUGAAGAAAGAAGGAGUUCUGCUUCUUCCAAAGGAGUGACUCCCAAAGGAACAAGAAUUGACCAUAGGUUAUGGCUUGUGUUACAAUACACCGAUGUUGUCUUUGAGGCCAUCCACUGACGUCCUCACCCAUGGCAUAAGCAAGUUUUUCUGAAGGUCUCUCUUGUGCUCCUGCCUCCUGCCAUGAGAACAGCAAGUCCCAGGUAAGAACUAAUCCUUCUGCCUAACUCUCCAUAGGAGAAAACCUGAACUUGACCUACGUUCUGGAACAGAGCCACCCAGAUGACCCACAGACACUGGGAGAGAAAUGAAGACUUAUUGUUUUAGACUUUGAUAUUCUGGAAUUGAUUGCAGCAUCAUUACGGCAAAAGCUGACUAAUACAAUUCCAUUUGUUAUUCUAUUAAGUUCUUUUUGUUAAAAAAGUAUAUAACCAUUGUUGAAAAAUUAGAAAAUACAGAAAAUCAAAAUGAAGAAAAAAAUUGGGUAGGAAGACAGGCUCAAACAACUAUGAUGCAAUUACAUGUUUAUUUACAAUUGUGAUAAGUGCUAUAAAGGGAAAGUCUGUAUUCUAGGAUAAUAUUAAUAUUUAAAAAGAGGGCAUAGGCUAGGCAUGGUGGCUCAUGCCUAUAAUCCCAGCACUUUG